rnacentral:rRNA from 1 species
UCGAACGAACUCUGGUAUUGAUUGGUGCUUGCAUCAUGAUUUACAUUUGAGUGAGUGGCGAACUGGUGAGUAACACGUGGGAAACCUGCCACGAAGCGGGGGAUAACACCUGGAAACAGAUGCUAAUACCGCAUAACAACUUGGACCGCAUGGUCCGAGCUUGAAAGAUGGCUUCGGCUAUCACUUCUGGAUGGUCCCGCGGCGUAUUAGCUAGAUGGUGAGGUAACGGCUCACCAUGGCCAUGAUACGUAGCCGACCUGAGAGGGUAAUCGGCCACAUUGGGACUGAGACACGGCCACAACUCCUACGGGAGGCAGAAGUAGGGAAUCUUCCACAAUGGACGAAAGUCUGAUGGAGCAACGCCGCGUGAGUGAAGAAGGGUUUCGGCUCGUAAAACUCUGUUGUUAAAGAAGAACAUAUCUGAGAGUAACUGUUCAGGUAUUGACGGUAUUUAACCAGAAAGCCACGGCUAACUACGUGCCAGCAGCCGCGGUAAUACGUAGGUGGCAAGCGUUGUCCGGAUUUAUUGGGCGUAAAGCGAGCGCAGGCGGUUUUUUAAGUCUGAUGUGAAAGCCUGCUGCUCAACCGAAGAAGUGCAUCGGAAACUGGGAAACUGUA